rnacentral:rRNA from 1 species
AUGAUGCGGUACGCCACGCCGCAGUCCACCCCGCCGAUGUCGCCGCUCCACGGUACGGCGACGCCUCGCACUCCCGGCGCGUACUCUGAGAUGCCGCCGCCCUCGCCACGGCCCGCGAUCACGCUCACCCCGCCCCCGUCCAAGAAGAAGCAGCGCCGCACGGCCGCGCGCUCGCUCCGCGCCAUCCGCGCCGUGCGCGCGCUGUUCCGGUCCCUCCCGAUCCUCGCCCCGGCGUGCCGCUUCCACGGCAUCGUCCCGCGGCACGGCGGGCCGUCGCGGAUGCACGACGGCCACGUCAGCGGCGCCUCGCGCACGACGGGGACGCUGUUCGGGUACCGCAGGGCGCGGGUGACGCUGGCGGUGCAGGAGACGCCCGGGAGCGUGCCCAUCCUGCUGCUGGAGCUGGCGAUGCAGACCGGCAGGUUCAUGCAGGAGAUGGGCGCCGAGCACCUGCGCGUGGCGCUCGAGUGCGAGAAGAAGCCGCCGGGCGCCGGCGCCGGCAUCGGCCGCACGCGCCUGCUCGACGAGCCGCUGUGGACGGCCUACGUGAACGGGCGGAAGAUCGGGUACGCCAUGCGCCGGGAGCCCACGGAGGACGACCUCACGGUCAUGCAGCUGCUGCGCACCGUGUCGGUCGGCGCCGGCGUGCUGCCGAACGACGUCAUGGGUUGCGACACCGCCGAGGGGCAGGAGGCCGGCGACCUGGCGUACAUGCGCGCGCGCUUCGACCGCGUGGUGGGGUCCCGGGACUCCGAGUCGCUGUACAUGCUCAACCCUGACGGGAACAAUGGGCCAGAGCUUAGCAUCUUCUUCAUUAGGAUAUGA